rnacentral:rRNA from 1 species
AGCUCCAAUAGCGUAUAUUAAAGUUGUUGCGGUUAAAAAGCUCGUAGUUGGAUUUCUGCCAGGGACAGGCGGUCCGCACUAUGUGCGUGUAUCUGUUGUGGCCUUGGCAUCCUCUUGUUACUGGCGUUCGUGCUUGAUUGCGCGACGUCGGGGCAAGACGUUUACUUUGAGGAAAUUAGAGUGUUCACGGCAGGCAAUCGCCCUGAAUAUAUUAGCAUGGAAUAAUAAGAUAGGACCAGGUUCCCAUUUUGUUGGUUUCUAGGAAUCCGGUAAUGGUUAAUAGGGAUAAUUGGGGGCAUUCGUAUCAAGGCGUCAGAGGUGGAAUUCUUGGAUUGCCUUGCGACGAGCUACUGCGAAAGCAUCUGCCAAGGAUGUUUUCA